rnacentral:rRNA from 1 species
GACAGAGGUGCCGAGCGUUAGGCGGAAUCACUGGGCUUAAAGCGUGUGUAGGCGGACUUCUAAGUACCUUGUGAAAUCCCACGGCUCAACCGUGGAACUGCUUGGUAUACUGGUUGUCUUGAGCCACUUAGGGGCAGUCGGAACAGACGGUGGAGCGGUGAAAUGCGUAGAUAUCGGAAGGAACAUCAGUGGCGAAGGCGACUUCCUGGACCAAUACUGACGCUCAGGUGCGAAAGCGUGGGGAGCAAACAGG